CAGCCGUAAACUAUGCGCGUUAGGUGUAUCGGUGGCCACGAGUUACCGAGGUGCCGAAGGGAAACCGUGAAACGUGCCGCCUGGGAAGUACGGUCGCAAGGCUGAACUUAAAGGAAUUGGCGGGGGAGCACCACAACAGGUGGAGCCUGCGGUUUAAUUGGACUCAACGCCGGGAAGCUCACCGGAUAGGACAGCAGAAUGAUUGCCGGGCUGAAGACUCUGCAUGACUAGCUGAGAGGAGGUGCAUGGCGUAGACGUCU
rnacentral:rRNA from 1 species